CCACUUACUAAGAUGGCCAUGCAAAGCCCAGGAGCUACAGGCCUCCGCUCAAACCAGAAGGAAGCACAGUGAAGACAGAUGAAUUCUGAAAUGGAUGGGCACUAUGAGAUGUAUUUACUUGGAACUUCUUCCAACUGUGAGAAUACAAGAGCAACGUGUGCUCGCUACACUCCUAUACCGUGCAGAGUGUCCUUUCUGAUCACAAGUAGGAAACAUUCUUUCAUCUGUUCAGUUCUAAUCCUGAAAAAUUCGCACAUUUACAUGCUUACUGGCAAAACUGAAUCUGGUGCAGAUCAGAAACUUGCAUCUGUGUUACAGGCCUCGUCCCCAUGCAAAAGAGCGAAGCCUGAAGGAACAAGAUGAUGGACUUCUUUUUGAUGCCUCAACCACUGCAAGAGGAUGUGGGUGGAAUCCUUUCAACAAGCUCCUUUCCAUGUACUUGGCCUCUCCAGAGUGUACAGAGAACUUUAUUCAAUAGAACAAAGGUGAAAAAAAUAUCAAAUUCAGUAAAAAAAAAAAAAAAAGAUACAUAGAUGAAAGAUAGAUGAUAGAUAGAUGAUAGAUAGAUAGAUAGAUAGAUAGAUAGAUAGAUAAUAGCCAAAGAGAAGCUAUGAAGAAAUAUUUUACCUUUUAAAGCAGAUGCAACGGGAUAUAAUUAUUUCAGAAGCCCUUCUCUUUGAGAUUUGCCUCUCAUCUAAAUUAUUUAUGUCUAUCAGUUAGGAUGGUAAGAUGUUUCAGAUCUAACAGCUUUACCAGAUAGUGUUUGUAUCUGGAUGCAAAGGAGAGGAACACAGCAGAAUACCAACUUCUUCCUCAGUAUGUCACCUAUCUGUUCCUCCAUGCAUUAUGGACUCUGAAAAAGCAUCAUUCUUCUCUCCAGCAUGUGGAGGCAGCGAGAUGCUCAACUGAGUCCUCAAAGUCCGUUCCUACCAUAAUGGGACUGGGAAUUGUGGAACUCUACUGGAUUUCUCACACUUAACUUUCAAAAAAGAAUGUUUCCAAACACCAGUGGAAGUCUUAGGGUUGCAUCCUGUCGACAAAUGUUGCUCUUCACUCCAACUAAGUCAAACGUAUGGUUUUCUUUAGGUCUUGAUGUUUUAGUCAAUCAAAGCGCAAUCGGUGGAUCUACCUCAUGUUUUCCAAGGCCUAAAAAUGACUAUUGCACUCUCACUUCUGAUACUGUCUGUGAGACUAAAAGUAACUAAGUAUGUACUUCAACCUGACCCUAAGACAUUUGUGGAAGAAACUUGAAUUGGAAUUGUUUAAGCAACACAUCCUUACCUAGUGAUACUCACUUACUGAGAUUUACUUGAUGUCUGGCAUAUAUCCACUGUGGACAGCUCCCUACCUCUGUCAGAUGUUAGCAACCCUGUGCUCAAAGGGUAGCCAUACACACUUCCUACCUCCUCAUUCCUGACUGAGCUAUCCUCAGGGUUACAAUGAAGACUAUAGUUUAAUUUAGGAUUUCUUGGCUACAAACAAUUAACAAAUUUAAUCUGCAACAUCUGUGCCUCCAAGUCUUAUUGUGGUGAAUAGAACUCUCUGGUAUGUCUUUGUGUUGCAACCCAAAAGAAGAGCAUUCUUCACUGCCUUAUGAGAUGUAGUUAUAAAUUUGAGAUUAUACCAGGCCUUCAGUACUUGUUCCAUAUGUGGCCUCUAGUGCUGGGCCACAGAGAUGGUUACUUAGAUAUGGGGCUUUAUCACCAUCUCUGAGAUAGUGCAUCUCUUGACUAUUUCUGAUAUUCUUUAAACUCAACUCACAACUGUGGCAUGACACUUUCCACGAAUUUUUCAAGUUUCUUAAAAAUUAUUUCAAGGUUUAUAAUAGUCAAAAGAAAGACAAUUUAAAUGUUAAUUAAUAAGAAAUUCGUUAAAAAUAAUUUAUGAUACACACAUGUAGUGGAAUGCUAGGCAACUAAUUAAAUAAUCAUGCAAAUCUUUUUGUUAUUAACAUGAAAAGACAUAGUAAGUUGCUUAGUGGAAGAAAGUCAUAGUUAAAUACAUUAAAAUAGACAAAUCUCCCAUGCAGAAUAAUUCCAACUAAUUUAUAUAGAUACUCUGCCCUCAAGGAACUGGAACUUAUAUCCCCACAACAUAAGUGUAGUCUGUGCAUAGUGACUUCCUUCCAAAGAGUACAGUAUGGGAAGGGGGAAAAAGUAUAUACUUCAGGGGCACCUGGAUCACUCAGUCGAUUAAGUGUCUGCCUUUGGCUCAGGUCAUGAUCUCAGGGUCUUGGGAUCAAGCACCACAUAGGGCUCUCCGUUAAGUGGGCAGUCUGCUUCUCCUUCUCAGUCCCCCUCUGUGCUAUAAAUAAAUAAAUAAACAAACAAAUAAAUAAAUAAAUA
rnacentral:lncRNA from 1 species